rnacentral:rRNA from 1 species
UGCUACCUACGGGGCGCAGCAGUAGGGAAUUUUCGUCAAAGGGCGCAAGCCUGAACGAGCGAUGCCGCGUGAGUGAAGAAGGCCUUCGGGUCGUAAAGCUCUGUUGCGGGGGAAAAAAGGCAGCAUCAGGAAAUGGGUGCUGACUGAUGGUGCCCCGCCAGAAAGCCACGGCUAACUACGUGCCAGCAGCCGCGGUAAUACGUAGGUGGCGAGCGUUAUCCGGACUGAUUGGGCGUAAAGGGUGCGCAGGCGGUCCUGCAAGUCUGGAGGGAAACGCAUGAGCUCA